GAUGAGGAAACUGAGGUUCUGAGCCGUGGAUCGUCUGCUUGAAGUCGCGCUGCUGCUACUUGGCGAGGCUGGACUUUGAGCCCAAAUGGGCUGAGUCCAAGUCUCCAGAGUUGUGAAGAUCGCUCCUCUGCAAAGGAUUCAGGUGGAGGAACCAGGCUCCGGGGGAUCUAGGGAAACGGACGAAUUGAGCUUCCAAACAGAGCUGCCUCCUAGGGCCAUGCACUUUGUCCAGCUCUCAAACUGAACUCUGCUCUGAAGGUUGGCACUGUGGGAACAGAAAUCACCUACGAACACGAAUCUGAAGGUGCUGCGACCAACAGAGGCCCACAGUGACCCCGCCUGCAGCCAGCCUCCCCCCGGAGCCCCGCCGCGCCCUCCCGACAGCUGCCCAGACCAGACACCCCUGGACCCGCCCGCAGCUCUUCAUUCCUCUCUCCCACUUCUUUCUUCUCAAAUCCAACCAGUCGCCAAGCUCUGCAUACCUUGUGCUUCGAUCCGGGUCUGGCACUUGCCCGCAGCCUAUAAAUACCAGCUGCUGCUAAGAGACCACAUCCCCCUCGUCCCUGCUCCCCUCCCCCACCGUCUUCCAGCUCUCCUCUCUCUUCUUUAUCAAACAUCCAACGCCUUUGAAUACCCACCCUCCUCCCCUGCCUUCCUCUUGGCUUCUGUCUGGAUUGGGCCUCCAGCCUCCAGCCUGGACAAUUGCUGUGGCUUCCGUACUAGUUGCUUCUCUCUGGUUUUGCCCCUGUCCAUUUCCCAUCUUCAUCUCAGUGCUGCCAUGAUCUCUCUAAAAGAUUAAUGCAAUGACAACGCUCCUUUUUUCCAAAUGCUUUUGUAACAGGGGUCCACCUUAUGCUCUGAAUACAGCCCUUGCUGCUCUACCAAUGGGACUUAUUUUUUUUUAAAUGGAUUUAAUUUAAAUUCUCAGUCUAUACUCAAAGGACUUAAAAUCAGCAUACUACAGUGACGUGGCCACAUCCAUGUUUAUACCAGCUCAAUUUACAACAGCUAAACGGUGGAACCAACCUAGAUGCUCUUCAAUAGAUACACAAUGGAAUAUUACUCAGCCUUAAAGAAAAAUGCAAUUAUGGCAUUUGCAGGUAAAUGGAUGAAGUUGGAGAAUAUCAUGCUAAGCAAAGUAAGCCAAUCCCCAAAAAACUGCAGGUCAAAUAUUUUCUCUGAUAAGUGGAUGCUGAUCCAUAGUGGGGGUGGGAGCCAGGAAAGAAUGGAGGAACUUUGGAUUGAGCCGAGAGGAGGGAGGGAAAGGGGGGAGUAUGGGGGUGGAAAAGAUGGUGGAAUGAGAUGGACAUUAUUACUCUAUGUACGGGUGUGAUUGCACGGGAGGUGCGACGCUACAUUGUGUUCAACCAGAGAAAUGAAAGGUUGUGCUCCAAUUGUGUACACCGAGUCGAAAUGCAUUCUGCCGUUGUGUGUAACUAAUUAGAACAAAUAAAAAUUUUUUUUA